rnacentral:lncRNA from 1 species
CAAGAUUUAUUAUAAAGUUAUUAUUACAGAGCCAAAAAUAAAAAUAAAAUACAUCAUAGCCCAAAGCUAGAUCCAAACUACCUAAUGCAAUCUUGAUAUCUAAUACAUGUGUUUCACAAAAUCCGAGUUCCAGAUUCCAAGGCCUUCUCUUAGAGUGUUUUAAAGUUCCAAGGAGCUUCAAGAGCCCAGAAAAUGCUUACACCCUAAAGAGUGAAUAUGGUAACAGAGUAGUGCAAUGUGUGGAAUCACCAGUCCUUAGCCAUCCAAGUUCAGAGAAAGCUCUAGGGUCCCUAAGCAUGGCUUACCAGAGGGGGUAGAACUUAAGAGCUAGGAGUAGGUGUAAAGUGAUAGAGGAACCUUAGCAGGAGGUGGUCAUACCCAGUCAUGGCAUAGACUGGCACACCCCUAACCUCCUACUCGGAUUUAAAAUAAUAAGAGCAGACUCAUAUAGAGUCAAACUCAGGUUUGAGUAAUGAUCAGGACACCAACAGACCCAAAUUAGAGCUCAGCACAUUGAGGGGAAAGCAAUCGAGCAAAUAAUCAGAAAAGUCUAGUUCUGGAUCACAUACAUCAAUUCAUAGUGUUGUUAUGACCUAGGAAAAUACUCACAUACAGAGAGAAACGGAUUAACGUGCUUAAAGGUAAUUAAAUAGUGCAGGAAAGCAUAAGUAAACACACAUAGAAAAGGGGUAGAAGCAGAGAAGUUGAACAAGGAUGUUAUUUACCAUAGAAGAACAUACCAGUUAUAAAUUUUAGAAUAGCAUGAUAGUAACAGCAAACAGACAGCCAGGAACAACAGGAACAGACUCAAGAAAACUCCACAAACGCUCAGAAGUUCAAGCAGCAGGAAGUGCAGAUAUAGGAUGCUCAGUAAUAGCGUAGAGAAAUAGAGAGUUGUAACAAUAGUAGUAAAGAAGGCAGAGAUGUGAAUUCUAAUUUUGGAUUUGCAGUUAGAAUUCGAUGAUGAAGUGAAAAGAAAAG